rnacentral:rRNA from 1 species
AGCAGCCGCGGUAAUUCCAGCUCCAAUAGCGUAUAUUAAAGUUGUUGCAGUUAAAAAGCUCGUAGUUGAAUUUCGGGAUCAGUUGAUCGGUCGUGCCUCGGUACGUACUGGUCAAAUUGAUUCCUACCUUCUGACGAACCACGAUGUCAUUAAUUUGGUGUCGCGGGAAAUCAGGACUGUUACUUUGAAAAAUUAGAGUGUUUAAAGCAGGCUCGCGCUUGAAUACAUUAGCAUGGAAUAAUGAAAUAGGACGUUUGAUUCUAUUUUGUUGGUUUCUAGGAUCGACGUAAUGAUUAAUAGGGAUAGUUGGGGGCAUUAGUAUUCAAUUGUCAGAGGUGAAAUUCUUGGAUUUAUUGAAGACUAACUACUGCGAAAGCAUUUGCCAAGGAUGUUUUCAUUAAUCAAGAACGAAAGUUAGGGGAUCGAAGACGAUCAGAUACCGUCGUAGUCUUAACCAUAAACUAUGCCGACUAGGGAUCGGGAUGAUGUUAAUUUUUAAUGUACUCAUUUCGGCGCCUUA